rnacentral:rRNA from 1 species
CAGCAGCCGCGGUAAUACGGAGGGCGCGAGCGUUGUCCGGAUUCACUGGGCGUAAAGCGGGUGUAGGCGGUCGGGUAAGUCGGACGUGAAAGCCCGGGGCUCAACCCCGGAAGGGCGUCCGAAACUGCUCGACUUGAGGGCGGGAGAGGGAGGUGGAAUUCCCGGUGUAGCGGUGAAAUGCGUAGAUAUCGGCAGGAACGCCGGUGGGGAAGCCGGUCUCCUGGGCCGCGCCCGACGCUGAGGCCCGAAAGCUAGGGGAGCAAACCGGAUUAGAUACCCGGGUAGUCCUAGCCGUAAACGAUGCCCACUAGGUGUGGGGGAGUAUUUCCUCCGUGCUGUAGCUAACGCGUUAAGUGGGCCGCCUGGGGAGUACGCCCGCAAGGGUGAAACUUAAAGGAAUUGGCGGG